AUCCGCCCUCCCAUGGAGAGGAUGAGGCCCAAAGGCCAGCAAGGUAGAUUCUGCACAUGCCAUGUGUCCUUCUCCUUUUCUCCAGCCCUGAGCCCUCAGCUAACCAGUUCUGAUCCUCCUGUAUAAACCCUGCACGCUCAGACUUCCCCUGGGGCUCUUGUUCCCGGCACCUUUUACAGAGUGCCCCUUUUUAAUAAAGGCUCUCUCUGGUCUCCA